ensembl:lncRNA
UGCCUAUCUCCAAUAUCUUUUGAUCAACUACUCACAGAAGCAUAAUACACCCCUUUUACUCAUUUUAACCAAAUUCAUGUUUUUCCUGCCUCAUAUUCUACUUAAGAGGUUAUGAAAUGUACACUAUCUAAAUGUGACAUUCUUUAUUUGAUUCCAGAGUUGCCUUUUCUUCCUGGGAGCCCACUGUCAAGCUACUUCAUCUGAAACCAGUUUUCCCAUCAUUCCCAGAGCCACAGACUGAAUAAGUGUAUAGAAAAUGCAGGAAGAAGUUACACCUCCUGUGAGUUUUAGAGAGGAGAUAGGACUUGUGCAGCUCCUACCAGUGUGCCUGGAAGCCUACACAAGAAUGAAGACUAUUUGGAAGAGGUGGAAAGGGGAGAAGAAGGUCAGCAGUUCCUGCCAUCAGACAGUGUUGACAUUUGACAGCUUUGCAGACAGUAUGGGCUGUCCAUUUGUGAAAGCUUGUUUGACCCAGGGGGCCAUUAGCAGGAUCAAUAGGCAGAACAGGCCCUCCCUCUGACUGCAAGAAAAUGUAUUUAGUGUCCUGGGUUGACCUGUCACACUUUGAGUCUCUUGCAUCUUCUAACAUUGUGGAAGAAUUCACCUACACAACAUCCCCACAGUUUCUUGCUAAUAAAUACUUUAGACUUGCUGUCCUACUUGCUUGUAUUGCUGUCCAGAAUCUCACCCUAUGUAACCAUCUGAGAUCUCCCCUUGUGCCUGUGAAGGAAGACUGAGGAUAAAAUCAAACUGGUUUCACAAUUUUGUGCCAUGUCCUCCCUAAGAAGAGAGUUAGGUGCUUGUUUCUACCAGUGCUCAGUGCAGUCACCCUUCAGGGUAAUAUGCAUCUUACCUUCAGGAUUGUAUUUAUAUAACUAUGUAUGUAUAUAAUAUAUAUAUUUAUAUAACUGUGCUGAAGUAGAUUAACAAAAGGUUGUUAGAUGUCAUUGUGUAAAGAUCAAGGUGUUUUUUGAGAUGCUUACAGACAGCUUAAGUUCAGUCAUAUCAGGAGAUUUUUGAAUCUACAAGUAGAGGGUCUAACAGAAUUUACACAGCCAUUGGUUUAGGCAGCUCCUCUCCAUUCAUUUUUCUGUCUCCAGUUUUCUGGAUCACUUUCUCAAAUGUCAUUGCCUAAAUAUUUCCUAAUCCCCUUUCAGGCAUCUAAGAAGACAAGUAGAAUGUAAUGUUUUUAAGCUUCUCCAAAUAUGCAGUAAUUAGUUGCACCCCAGUUAAUUUCCACACUUAGGUAGGGACUUGAGCUUAGUAAAGGUGAGCCUCUUCAUCCCAUCAUCACAGGGCCAUGGUGCCAGCUGAAGCUGCCCACAGUUGGACUUCACAGAACCUGGGAACUGCCAGGUUGGCAUAGUUUGUCCAUGCAGAGCCUGAACCUGCUGUCCCAGCCCAAAAGAUUGAGGUCUUGGAUCCUCACUGUUUACAUCACAGGUGAUAAAGAGGAAGGUAAAUACCAGACAGAAAUGGCUUUUAUAGUGUAGAUAAUCCCAGGAGUGCAGUGGUUGUGCUGCAUUUCACUAAUUCCUGGUCAGAUUUGCCACCAUGGCAGGUGGUGUCUGAAAACCCAUCAGCCCUAUUGCACAGAAUUGAUUCAAUUCAGAGCUGCUCAGCACUGCAUUUCACAGAUAGAGAGACUUUAAGUAGGAUUCUUUAAACACUGAAGGAAAGAAGUUCUUCAAGGUAGGGAGUGAUACACAUCUGUGGAGGAAUGGUUAGCUGAAGUAGAAGUAGGUCAUGUGAAUGUUGAGCAACUCGGAGGUAAAGAGUUACAAAAGUAUCGUACUCAGCUCAUAUGAGUCUGAGCACAUACGCAUAUGGCUGGAAGCCUAUCAUGGGACAAGGACAAUGUGUCAAUGUGAGGAUGGGAAAAUACCUAUGAUGUGACUAUGGUUGAUAGAAAUAGGGAACUAACUGAUAAAAUAGAAAACUGCAAUAACCAAUCAUGAGCUUAACUUUUGUAAUAUGCAUGAGCUAAUUAUAUUGAAUCAUAUAAAAGAUGGCUGAGCUAUCCAAUAAAUCGAAGUUCACUGAUCACUCAUAUUGAGCGUCUGUGUCUUCCCUCCGUCGACAACACACAUCUUCCCAAAGUAGGGUUCUGAUACACCAGGGGCUUAAUUAGGGUAUAGCAUUAUAUCUAUGUGAACUUUCAUUCUCAUUUGCUCAUGAACACACACAUUUCUCACCUCACUGAGUGGACUUUGAGAAAAAGUAUUUACCUAACUGUAAAACUAUUGUAGGUUUAAAAGUCUAGUGUGGCUGUGAUAAAUGUGUUGUAAUAACAAAUAUGUUUUAUCAGGCUUCCUGUAAUUAAUGGACAAGAACUUUCUUGGUGCUGCUCAAAUGCUGCCAAAACACUUGAAGCUUCGAUAAAUAUCACCAGAGGAGAUGGAAUAGGGCUGCCAGGGCCAGUUCUAACAUUAUCCCAUCUCAGUGCUCUACUACUUGUGCAAUACUCACUGAUGAACUCACAGGGCAGCCCUUCAAGGUCUCACAUUCAGUAGGAGAUUCAGAUUUCAUUCCUGAUGGAAUGUCACACUGGUAACAAGGGCUUUCACAGAUAACACAAAGUCCAGUGGGUGUGCCCAACACCUCAUUUAUGUGCCUUAUCAUAAUGCUAUCACUGUAGGGUAACCUUUCCCUACAUGGAGGUGUCUUUUCAUCAGAUGUCCCAUUCAUCCCACCACCACCAUGCAGUUCAUAUUGAGGGACAAGUGUAUUUAAUGGUGGGAGUGACAGCAAGCUUCUGGCUGUUGUACGUGGUCUGAAGACCAGUUUAACGCUUCCAACAAUUUGUCACUCAAGGUCCUGGUUUUGAAAUACAGUUGUCAAGCCUACCACAAUUGUUUUACAAUACACUCCAGACAUCAGUUCUUAAAUGUUGAUGAGUUACUUGCUGUCUUUAUUCAGACAACAGUUAUAUAGCUCUGGGCACUACUACCGGGAAGCAUUUUUAAUAGUUGUCAGGCUGUAUGGGUUAUGAGAUAUGUUUACUUUCCUACAUCUCUAUCAUCUUUUGAUGUUAAAACCUCAGUGUCAGAGUAUUGCAUCAAAUACUCUUGGGAUAUGAAAGGGAAUUCACAGUACAGGGUAAGGUAGACUUUUCAGUGUGGCAGAAGCAAUUACGUAGUACUUCAUGCUGGAGGACUCCUUUCAUUAGUUCUGUAAGCCAGCCAAAGGCACCUGAACCAAGACAGAAUUAGGCAUGUAAUAUCACCAUAAUAGCAUCACUGUGAAAAAUCAGACAGAUUUGAACAAUAGGUUUUACCUAAGUGGCAUUAUCACUGACAGUAGAUGUUGCAGCAUCCUGCAUAGCAACAUAGGCAGGUCUCAGAUUUUUAUAUAUAAUAUACACACAUAUAAAAAUGUUUGCACAUAUAUGUAUGCAAGUGCAGCUGCUGGAUCCUCUAGUGAGGGAUGGAGACCAUAGAGGGGAGAAAGAACUCAUGAGUAGAGAGUACAGCUACUUCAUAUCAAAAGCUAAUGGAAAAAUAAUUUUGAUGCUAGUGAUAUUGAUUUCCUAGUAUAUUGGUUUAAGCAGCACAAGGUUGUUGUCACAGCAGGUGUUUUGUUACAGCUGUUCUUUGAACUCUUAGACUCUUAGCAUGUCCAGCUAAGAUUUCAGUAUACACUUAUUCACCAAAGACAAACUUCUGAUCAAAGUGAUACUUCUGCACAUUUACAGGGACUUUAAGAGAAUGUGGGACUCUUGGCAUUAUCUUAGAAAAAAAGUAUCUGUGUCAAGCAACAGGCAGUAGUUCUCAAAUGACUAAGUAACAGCAAAGCUGAGGAACCAGUUCCUUCUUUAGGACUCAGAUGAGUGCCUUCAUGAGGGCCUGUCUUAAGGAGCCACAAAUCUACUGCUGGGGAAGAAUUGGAUAAGGGAAGAAAGAUUGCAUAUGGUUUAUUUUACUCAGAUGUUGACACAAACUUGGCAUGGAAGUAGAUUAAGAUAAGCAAGACCAAUUAUGUAAAAGGCAGUGAUUGACUUUACGUUUUAAA